UUCAUUUUUUUUGUUGUUGUUAAUACUACAAGGUCAAUUGCACUCUAACAUUAUCAUGGAAAAAUACAAUAUGUCAAAAUGGACAUGUAGCCAAACCUAUGAAAAAUGUGAGCCAAAAGUUCAAGUAAUGCUUAAACUUCGCACCAACAAUCUUAGUCAACAAACAUAUCAACGGAGUUGUUCUUAGUUGCAAUCUUUUGAAAAAGAAAAAUGCUUGGGAGACCAUCUCUUUAAACUACAUUUCGUAAAUCACAUGAUGUGGCAAUAAAAUAAGAAUUCAUAAUUUAAUUUCUUUUUAAAGACCAAACCGUCAACAAUUACAUUAUGUGGUUAAAAAAAUAUGGUUUGAAAAAAUAAUCUCUCUAACAUUACCUUUGAAGAAUUAUGUGUACUUUAACUACAAUGUCUAUCAUGCUGAACCUCCAAGAUACUAGCAAUUUGUCUAUCAUAAUGAACCUCCACUUGGUUUACAUCAACCCCAAAAUAACUUAUAAGUCCAUCUAGCCAUAACAAACACAUUUUAUGUGGUAGACAAAGCUAAAUAAAUUCCUUUAUAGGCUAUGCAGUAGACAAUGCUACAGAGGACAAAAAAAUGGACCUCUAUAAUAAGCACACUUUAUGUUUUAUGUAGUAGACCUUCUUUUAUCUAAAUUACCUGAAUAAUAACUCUAAGGUGUUUGUAUAGUGGAAAGUGAACAAAGGUUUAGAACUCUCAACUCGAGCUUGAACUUCCAUGAAUUCAUGUUUUUGGGUCACCAUUCUGUUUUAGCAUACUGUUUGACUCAAGGGCCAGAAGUACAUUGCUGCCUCUUUGUAUUACCGUAGCUGCAAAGAUUAGUCUACCCGAUGUGUUGUGAAAUACCUUCUAUAUUUGAAAAAAAAAAAAAGGGUAAAUUACACAGUAGCCCCUCAGGUUUUGAGGUCUAUUACAACCUCAUACAACAACUUUAAAACAUUUCACUUUCAUACCUCAAGUACUAUUUUAUUUCAAUAUAAUACAUCCAUUAGAUUUUCCAUCCAUUAAUCUGUUAAAUGCUGACGUGGCUGCCAAAUGUGUGCCAUGUGGCAAAAAAAAUUU
rnacentral:lncRNA from 1 species